AUUGAACGCUGGCGGUAUGCUUAACAUAUGCAAGUCGAACGGCAGCACGGUAUGUAGCAAUACAUAUGGGUGGCAAGUGGCGGACGGGUGAGUAACGCGUAGGAAUCUGCCCUCAAGCGAGGGACAACCCGAGGAAACUCGGGCUAAUACCGCAUAAACUCGGAAGAGAAAAGCUGGGAUAACCUGGCACUUGAGGAGGAGCCUGCGUCUGAUUAGCUAGUUGGUAGGGUAAAGGCCUACCAAGGCGAUGAUCAGUAGCUGGUCUGAGAGGAUGACCAGCCACACUGGAACUUAGACACGGUCCAGACUCCUACGGGAGGCAGCAGUGGGGAAUAUUGGACAAUGGGGGAAACCCUGAUCCAGCAAUACCGCGUGUGUGAAGAAGGCCUUCGGGUUGUAAAGCACUUUAGUUGGGGAGGAAGGUUAGCAGUUUAAGAGAUGGCUAAUUUGACUGUACCCAAAGAAUAAGCACCGGCUAACUCUGUGCCAGCCGCCGCCGUAA
rnacentral:rRNA from 1 species